UACAGAGGUCUCAAGCGUUGUUCGGAUUCAUUGGGCGUAAAGGGUGUGUAGGUGGCGCCGUAAGUCGGGUGUGAAAUUUCGGAGCUUAACUCCGAAACUGCAUUCGAUACUGCGGUGCUUGAGGACUGGAGAGGAGACUGGAAUUCAUGGUGUAGCAGUGAAAUGCGUAGAGAUCAUGAGGAAGACCAGUGGCGAAGGCGGGUCUCGUGGACGAGUUCCUGACACUGAGACACGAAGGCCAGGGGAGCAA
rnacentral:rRNA from 1 species